ACGGUAAAAACACACGCAGAAACGCAGAAGCAUAGGGGAUGCAGCGCCGCAAGUGGGAGACCGACCGACCGCCGGUAGCCCGGAGAUCCGCCGCUCGCCGCCCUAAGCCGAGACCCAGCCCCGGCGCCGCCCUUCUCGCUGUAUCCCCAGCCGUAUCAACAGAUCGCCGCCGUUCUCCACCCGGACGCAAGACCUAGCGCCGCCACGACGCCUCCUGCGUCCGUCACCGGCGUGGCCGAAUAAAGAAGGGAAGCCGCCGCCUCUCCGCCGGAUUGACGAGAAAACGGCGCAGUCCGACCGCCGAUCCAACAGCCCAGGGUCUCUACCGUCAAACACAGUGACUAAUCUCCUUGUUGGAUCGUAGGCACCUCUAUUGGGUAGGAUAAGCUAACCUGGAAAUUUAAGGUUGGACAAUCUUUGUUAUUUAUUAGCAAAGUUCAUAAUGGGAUUCAAACCAAUGAGAAUGUCACCUAUAGAAAUAUGAACAUAAUCUUUUACAAUUGCCAUGGUUUAGGUAUGUUUCAACAUGAUAACAACUCAUCAUCCUUGAACCCCAUCAUGUACUACCCUUAACUUUUAUCAAUUGCCAUGGUUUAGGUAUGCUUCAAUUCAUUAUAAUAAUGACUAGAAAUAAAUCACUAUCUUAUUAUCA